rnacentral:rRNA from 1 species
AAUGAACGUUGGCGGCGUGGAUUAGGCAUGCAAGUCGUGCGGAAAGGCUCCUUCGGGAGUACUCGAGCGGCGAAAGGGAGAGUAACGCGUGGAUAUCUACCCCCUGGCCUGGGAUAGCGGCGGGGAACUGCCGGUAAUACCAGAUAAUAUCUGCGGAUCAAAGGUGUGAUUCCGCCGGGGGAUGAGUCCGCGUCCUAUUAGCUAGUUGGUGAGGUAACGGCCCACCAAGGCUGAGAUGGGUACCGGGUGUGAGAGCAUGGCCCGGCUCACUGGGACUGAGACACUGCCCAGACACCUACGGGUGGCUGCAGUCGAGAAUCUUCGGCAAUGGGCGCAAGCCUGACCGAGCGACGCCGCGUGCGGGAUGAAGGCCUUCGGGUUGUAAACCGCUGUCAGAGGGGAGGAAAUGCAUGGGGGUUCUCCCUCAUGUUUGACCUAUCCUCAGAGGAAGUACGGGCUAAGUUCGUGCCAGCAGCCGCGGUAA